UACGUAGGGGGCAAGCGUUAUCCGGAUUUACUGGGUGUAAAAGGAGCGCAGACGGCAGUGCAAGUCUGGAGUGAAAGCCCGGGGCCCAACCCCGGAACUGCUCUGGAAACUGUGCGGCUAGAGUACUGGAGGGGCAGGCGGAAUUCCUAGUGUAGCGGUGAAAUGCGUAGAUAUUAGGAGGAACACCAGUGGCGAAGGCGGCCUGCUGGACAGUAACUGACGUUGAGGCUCGAAAGCGUGGGGAGCAAACAGG
rnacentral:rRNA from 1 species